GGGUCCAGGCCCAACUUGUUUAGGGAUUCAAACAGACAAAUGAUCUGAGUCAUUGAGAAUUUUUAAGUAAGUAAUAACGAGGAAAGAAGAAGGGAAUCGACGGAUUACGCGGAUUCUUUUCCAGGAGCAGCACCACAGACUUCUCAAUGAAAGAGCCUGACGCAAUCAAACUCUUCAUCGGGCAGAUACCCCGAAACCUGGAGGAGAAGGACUUGAAGCCCAUUUUUGAGCAGUUUGGCAAGAUCUAUGAGUUAACAGUGAUAAAGGAUAAAUACACAGGAAUGCACAAAGGAUGUGCCUUCCUGACAUACUGUGCACGCGAGUCCGCCCUGAAAGCCCAGAAUGCACUGCAUGAACAGAAGACAUUACCAGGGAUGAACCGCCCGAUCCAAGUGAAACCAGCAGACAGUGAGAGCAGAGGGGAAGACAGGAAGCUGUUUGUGGGCAUGCUGGGAAAACAGCAGACAGACGCUGAUGUCAGGAAGAUGUUUGAGCCAUUCGGCAGCAUAGAGGAGUGCACUGUGCUCCGCGGGCCUGACGGGACCAGCAAAGGGUGUGCAUUUGUAAAGUUCCAGAGCAACGCUGAAGCCCAGGCUGCCAUCAACUCUCUGCACGGGAGCCGAACUUUACCAGGCGCCUCGUCCAGCCUGGUCGUGAAAUUUGCCGAUUCGGAAAAGGAGCGAGGACUUCGGCGGAUGCAGCAGGUGGCCUCCCAGCUAGGAGUCAUCAGUCCCAUGACCCUGCACCUCGGGGCGUAUAACGCCUACACACAAGCCCUGAUGCAGCAGCAGGCCCUUGUGGCGCAGUCGGCCUACCUUUCUCCCGUUGCCACGGUGGCGGCGGUUCAGAUGCAGCAGCUCGCUGCCCUCAACCCCAGCAGCAUCAUUGCCACACCAAUUGCAUCCAUCACCCCUUCCUCAGGUACGAGCACUCCUCCCUCCAUCGCAGCCACACCGGUUCCUGCUCUGCCUCCUCCAAUCGCAGUGAACAGCUACCCCUCCGUGCCAGCUCCGCCCAGUGGGCAGUCUGCAACCGAAACCCUGUACACCAACGGCGUUCAUGCAUAUCAAGCUCAGAGUCCUGUCCUGGACCCUUUGCAGCAGGCUUAUACAGGCAUGCAGCACUAUACCGCCACCUACCCUGCUGCCUACAGCCUGGUGGGACAGUCAUUCCCCCACCAGCCCACACUUGUGGCUCAGCAGCCGCAGCAGGCACAGCAGCUGCAGCAGCGAGAAGGUCCCGAGGGCUGCAACAUCUUCAUAUACCACCUGCCGCAAGAGUUCACAGAUUCUGAGAUACUACAGAUGUUCCUCCCCUUCGGAAACGUCAUCUCUGCAAAGGUGUUUGUUGAUCGCGCCACCAAUCAGAGCAAGUGCUUCGGUUUUGUGAGUUUUGACAACCCAUCCAGCGCCCAGACUGCCAUUCAGGCCAUGAACGGCUUCCAGAUCGGCAUGAAGAGACUGAAAGUGCAGCUGAAGAGGCCCAAGGACGCCAACAGGCCUUACUGAAAGAGACCGCCCCGCCCAUACAUAUAUCAUGGAGACUGCGUCGCUAUGGCUACGGUUGCCUAGCAACCACUUAAACCUCCCCCCCCUUCCUCUCAGCGCGUUUGAAAAGAUGAAAAAAAGAGUUCAAUCAAGAAACCACUUGGGAUGUCCCAGCCUUUUUCGGUUGUCUGACCAACCGUUUAGCACAGGAGCAGCACUUCACAAACAAACAGUAUCACAUGUAUGUGCUUAAAAAAAGAUUUAAAGAGUAAAACAUGAUAAUAUCUACAACAAAUACAGCAGCAGCAGAAUCAGCAGCCACAAUAUCGGAGGUGUCGAGUGCUCCAAAGUUCCUAUCAUUCCACAGUUAAAUUUAUUUAGAUUAUGUACAUACUCUUUUGUCUGCAGCGAGAUCUACAUGUUACAGAAAAAAAAAAGCAUAUCACUGAUGUUAUUUACUGAACAGGGUCUUACUGUAUAAUGUGGUUUGUGGUUUUUGGCGUAACAGAAGGUCAACCCAGGUGGAAAAAAAAGAAAAAAGAAAAUGCUAUUCUGUAUGACUGCCAUAGGUAAUAUUGGUAUGUAGAGUUAGUUUUAUUAUUUAGGCGUAAAUUAUUGACACGGGGUGAUUACAACAAAGGAGAAAUUGAUUUCCUCCUACUGUAUAUACCUUGUUUGAUAAAAAGGACUUCACAAGUUAAGAUUCUCUUCUCCUGCCACUACUUUUAAAUUAAUAAAGCAGAAGGAAGGGUU